AUGACCCACCCUUCCUCGUCCUCCUCCUCCGCCCCGGCGGCCGCGCCGGAUGACCCGACCUCCCUUGCCCCGGGCUUCCGCUUCCACCCAACAGACGAGGAGCUCGUCUCCUACUACCUCAAGCGCAAGGUGCUCGGUCGCCCGCUCAAGGUCGACGCCAUCGCUGAGGUAGACCUCUACAAGGUCGAGCCAUGGGACCUCCCGGCAAGGUCGCGCCUCCGCAGCCGCGAUUCCCAGUGGUACUUCUUCAGCCGCCUCGACCGCAAGCACGCCAACCGCGCGCGCACCAACCGCGCCACUGCAGGAGGCUACUGGAAGACCACCGGCAAGGACAGGGAGGUCCGCCAUGGAGCUAGGGUUGUCGGGAUGAAGAAGACGCUCGUCUUCCACGCUGGCCGCGCGCCCAAGGGCGAGCGCACCAACUGGGUCAUGCACGAGUAUCGCCUUGAGGGCGAUGGCGCAGCCGGGAUCCCACAGGAUUCAUUUGUAGUGUGCCGAAUCUUCCAGAAGGCUGGGCCUGGUCCUCAAAACGGGGCACAGUAUGGAGCUCCCUUCGUCGAGGAGGAGUGGGAGGCGGAUGAGGAUGAUGAUUUUGGUCCUAUGCCAGUGCAGAGGGACGUUUUUGGUGAGCAUGAGGCUCCUGGUGCUAUGGAGAAAGGAUAUCUUCAGAUGAAUGAUCUCAUUCAGGACUUGGCUGGUCAAAAUGAGAAUGGCAGUGUUGUUUUGCCAGUUUCUGACACUUCAAACACCAGCAGCCAUUCUGAAGACGUAGAAGGAAAUUCAGGGGACAUUUUGAAUGACCCAAGUCUUGGUUCUAAUUUUCUUCAGUAUAUUCAUCCUGGAGAACAAAAUAGCCCAAUGCUUAAUGAAAAUAUGUUAUCUAAUGCCAAUGUUGGAGAUUUUCUUAAUAGUUCUAGCCCCAAUGAUGAAUUCCUAGAGCUGAAGGAUUUGGAGUUACCUCUAGGCAAUGAUUCCACUAUCUGGCCUUCUGAUGGUUGGGCCUGGAAAACAGCUUUCCCCUUGGAUGCUGUAAACGGGGCCAACAAUGAGGUUCCUCUGAUCACUGGUGAUCAGCCUUUCCAGCCAGAUGAGUUGGCCCAGUUGUUGCAGACACUACAAGAUGACUCCUCCCAGUUGGGCUCAACUAUGACCGAUCUCCCACACUCUUCUAUUACAAAUUCAGUCAAGCCAGAAGAUGAUUCUCUUAUGUAUUUUGAUGCGCCCUUUGAUAACUCAAUGUUCAGUGAUGGAUUUAGACAGACGAAUGGAUUUCUUGGCUCCCCAGCAACCAUUCUAUCUGGUAUCGAGACACUGGAUGAUGGUAUUCCAUACUAUGAUGCAAUGGACGAUAACUUAUUUAAUGAUAUGAUGUGCUCUGUACAGCAGUCGGCUGGGAGCAGCUCCCAUGUCUUUAAUGGGCCAGUUCUUACUCAAGAGGUCAACAAUCCCAACUAUACAUAUAGUCCAACUCAAAAGGUUGUAGAACCUAAUUUUGUAGCUGGGGCCCCGUCGUCCGCUAGGUUAUCUGAAGCUGGUGGCCAGUUAAAUUGUGUUGUUUUACCAGAUUCUCAGGCUAAGAAUGGCUCCAUGGGAAAGCGUUUUGUAAAGAUGCUGGAUUCAAUCUCGGCUCCCCCUGCUUUUGCAGCAGAGUUCCCAGGCAAAUCCUUGUCUGGUGUGCACCCUAACACCAUCAGCGUGUCUACCGAAGUAAUCAGCAUAGGAAGCUUAACUGUUGCUUCUCGACAAGGCAAGUGGUCGUUCCAGAAGGAUGAAGACAUGGAGCUUCUCUUCUCCACAGGUUUCCAGCCUGAUAACCGCAUACACUGUGGUGGCUGCAACACAGUGACUGCGGUGCUGCGCGGCGGCUUCUGUCUCUUUUUCCUGUCAGCAAUAAUGCUCCUGGUGAGCUACGAGGUGGGCCUGUGCAUCUACGGCAAGUAA
rnacentral:rRNA from 1 species